AGUGAACGCUGGCGGCAGGCCUAACACAUGCAAGUCGAGCGGCAGCGCGGGGGAGCAAUCCUCUGGCGGCGAGCGGCGGACGGGUGAGGAACACGUCGGAAUCUGCCCAGUCGUGGGGGAUAACGUAGGGAAACUUACGCUAAUACCGCAUACGAUCUGAGGAUGAAAGCGGGGGCUCGCAAGACCUCGCGCGAUUGGAUGAGCCGAUGUCGGAUUAGCUAGUUGGCGGGGUAACGGCCCACCAAGGCGACGAUCCGUAGCUGGUCUGAGAGGAUGAUCAGCCACACUGGAACUGAGACACGGUCCAGACUCCUACGGGAGGCAGCAGUGGGGAAUCUUGGACAAUGGGCGCAAGCCUGAUCCAGCCAUGCCGCGUGGGUGAAGAAGGCCUUCGGGUUGUAAAGCCCUUUUGUCCGGGAAGAAAUCGUGUCGGUGAACAGCCGGCGCGGAUGACGGUACCGGAAGAAUAAGCGCCGGCUAACUACGUGCCAGCAGCCGCGGUAAUACGUAGGGCGCAAGCGUUGUCCGGAAUUAUUGGGCGUAAAGAGCUCGUAGGUGGCUUGUCGCGUCGGAUGUGAAAGACUCGGGCUUAACUCGGGUUCUGCAUUCGAUACGGGCUGGCUAGAGGUAGGUAGGGGAGAACGGAAUUCCUGGUGUAGCGGUGAAAUGCGCAGAUAUCAGGAGGAACACCGGUGGCGAAGGCGGUUCUCUGGGCCUUACCUGACGCUGAGGAGCGAAAGCGUGGGGAGCGAACGGGAUUAGAUACCCUGGUAGUCCACGCUGUAAACGUUGGGCGCUAGGUGUGGGGACCUUCCACGGUUUCCGUGCCGGAGCUAACGCAUUAAGCGCCCCGCCUGGGGAGUACGGCCGCAAGGCUAAAACUCAAAUGAAUUGACGGGG
rnacentral:rRNA from 1 species